rnacentral:rRNA from 1 species
UAAUUGAAGAGUUUGAUCAUGGCUCAGAUUGAACGCUGGCGGCAGGCCUAACACAUGCAAGUCGAGCGGUAACAGGGGAAGCUUGCUUCCCGCUGACGAGCGGCGGACGGGUGAGUAAUGUAUGGGGAUCUGCCCGAUAGAGGGGGAUAACUACUGGAAACGGUAGCUAAUACCGCAUAAUCUCUCAGGAGCAAAGCAGGGGAACUUCGGUCCUUGCACUAUCGGAUGAACCCAUAUGGGAUUAGCUAGUUGGUGAGGUAAUGGCUCACCAAGGCGACGAUCCCUAGCUGGUCUGAGAGGAUGAUCAGCCACACUGGGACUGAGACACGGCCCAGACUCCUACGGGAGGCAGCAGUGGGGAAUAUUGCACAAUGGGCGCAAGCCUGAUGCAGCCAUGCCGCGUGUAUGAAGAAGGCCCUAGGGUUGUAAAGUACUUUCAGUCGGGAGGAAGGCGCUGAUGCUAAUAUCAUCAGCGAUUGACGUUACCGACAG